rnacentral:sRNA from 1 species
UUCUUUUCUUGUCGUGGAAUUGCAAUUGCAGUUGAAUAUUUUUGGAAGCUUGGCAACAGAAACAUCACUGUAUUUGUCCCUCAGUGGAGAACAAGGCGUGAUCCUAAUGUCACAGGUUUCUACUACACUUAGCGGACAAAACUGGUGGCAUAAUUGUGACAAAUGAUAAUUUCAGAGAAUUUGUGAAUGAGUCAGUCUCUUGGAGAGAAAUUAUUACAAAAAGGCUGCUGCAGUACACGUUCGUGGGGGACAUAUUUAUGGUUCCUGAUGAUCCUCUGGGAAGAAGUGGACCUCGA